rnacentral:rRNA from 1 species
GUGAACGCUGGCGGUAGGCCUAACACAUGCCAGUCGAACGGCAGCACAGUAAGAGCUUGCUCUUACGGGUGGCGAGUGGCGGACGGGUGAGGAAUACAUCGGAAUCUACUUUUUCGUGGGGGAUAACGUAGGGAAACUUACGCUAAUACCGCAUACGACCUACGGGUGAAAGCAGGGGAUCUUCGGACCUUGCGCGAUUGCAUGAGCCGAUGUCGGAUUAGCUAGUUGGCGGGGUAAAGGCCCACCAAGGCGACGAUCCGUAGCUGGUCUGAGAGGAUGAUCAGCCACACUGGAACUGAGACACGGUCCAGACUCCUACGGGAGGCAGCAGUGGGGAAUAUUGGACAAUGGGCGCAAGCCUGAUCCAGCCAUACCGCGUGGGUGAAGAAGGCCUUCGGGUUGUAAAGCCCUUUUGUUGGGAAAGAAAAGCAGCAGGUUAAUACCCCGCUGUUCUGACGGUACCCAAAGAAUAAGCACCGGCUAACUUCGUG